GGAGGCAUUUGUUGCAAGAUGCUGUGCAGUGAGAUGGUCAGUGAUGUAGUGUUCCUGGCAUGGAAGUUUCUUGCACAAAAGAAAGUGGUCCAGAAAAUAUAUGAAAAUGAGGAUGUUCAUGAUUCAAUAUCCCAUACUAAAUAGUUUAGUUGCAGGAAGACCUUACAAAGAUUUCUGGAGACUGAGAGACUGGCUUUGAGAAGAUAUUUGGAAAAGCAACCUCUGACUUUGGGCUUGGUUUAAAGGGAGCCUGUUCAAAUUUGUUGACUCAUGUCUAAAAUAAAAAUACAAAAAUAAAACACUUAAAAACCUCUAGGAAUGAUGAUAUC